rnacentral:rRNA from 1 species
CCUUCGGGGUCAGUGGCAGACGGGUGAGUAACGCGUGGGAACGUGCCCUUCAGUUCGGAAUAACCCAGGGAAACUUGGGCUAAUACCGGAUACGUGCGAGAGCAGAAAGAUUUAUCGCUGAAGGAUCGGCCCGCGUCUGAUUAGCUAGUUGGUAGGGUAAUGGCCUACCAAGGCGACGAUCAGUAGCUGGUCUGAGAGGAUGAUCAGCCACAUUGGGACUGAGACACGGCCCAAACUCCUACGGGAGGCAGCAGUGGGGAAUAUUGGACAAUGGGCGCAAGCCUGAUCCAGCCAUGCCGCGUGAGUGAUGACGGCCUUAGGGUUGUAAAGCUCUUUCGCACGCGACGAUAAUGACGGUAGCGUGAGAAGAAGCCCCGGCUAACUUCGUGCCAGCAGCCGCGGUAAUACGAAGGGGGCUAGCGUUGUUCGGAAUCACUGGGCGUAAAGGGCGCGUAGGCGGCUUAAUAAGUCGGGGGUGAAAGCCUGUGGCUCAACCACAGAAUUGCCUUCGAUACUGUUUGGCUUGAGACCGGAAGAGGUUAGUGGAACUGCGAGUGUAGAGGUGAAAUUCGUAGAUAUUCGCAAGAACACCAGUGGCGAAGGCGGCUGACUGGUCCGGAUCUGACGCUGAGGCGCGAAAGCGUGGGGAGCAAACAGGAUUAGAUACCCUGGUAGUCCACGCCGUACACGAUGAAUGCCAGCCGUUGGCGAGCUUGCUCGUCAGUGGCGCAGCUAACGCUUUAAGCAUUCCGCCUGGGGAGUACGGUCGCAAGAUUAAAACUCAAAGGAAUUGACGGGGGCCCGCACAAGCGGUGGAGCAUGUGGUUUAAUUUCGAAGCAACGCGCAGAACCUUACC